rnacentral:snoRNA from 1 species
GGCCUGUGAUGCAUAUAAGAAAUUGUUUGUACCAUCUGAUUAUAUUCUCAUUUCAUGUAUUUAAACCCUCUAGCUUCUUAGGCCU